CAGUCAUGGUGGAAAGGGACGAAGCUGCCAAGUAUUCCUUUCCCAAGUGUCCCAAUGUAAAGACUGUAGAAAAUUGUUCCGAGGAUUGUAACAAAUAAGCGAUGACGGUGGGAGAUCCAAGACGCAAAAGUUCUGACAACUCGUGCUUUAUAACAGGGUAUCCCGAUGCGUUAUCUGCGAAGCUCUCGCCAGGUGUAUGAACAUGAUGCUGCUGUAACUGCUGAGCUACAGGAAUCAUAGAACCGUAGACGGCUGGAAUAUUAGGCUCCACAUACUCAUUGCUAUCCUGGAAGUACCCAUUCUCUUCUGCUAGUAAUCUUUGUUCCUCUUCAGAAUAAUCACUGUCGGGAGAAGGAACUCUUCCAGAGGUCGGGGAUUUGGAGAAGA